ACCUAAUCAGCAGACCUCUCCACCCUUCAGGUAUGCCGGCGUUUUGUGAUGAGAUGCGAGGUUGGAUGGAGCUUUGAAGGCAUCCAGUUUGGUGGCGACACACCACAUCUAUUUAUUCUUCCCCAAUUACACUGCUGUUUUGAUUCUCAUGUGUGGAGAUGGAUGUGAAUUACCUAGAGGAAGUGGUUACAACAUCCGUCUGAAAGAUGCAGCAGGCACAAUAUAAGUUACUGGUUUGUAGUUAUGCAAAUAAACUAGACCGAUCUUCUCGACUACAGGAGCCACCCCCGGAGGAGGGUGAUGGCAUGCCAGUGAAGCUAGCUGGGCAUUUAAAGUUCAUGCUUACAUUGGCAAACCAUAUUCAGCAUUAUUGGGUCCAACGCUGGUAGUAAAGAUGGUGUAGCGGCGAAGAAACCAAAGCGGUAUAAAGUUCUGUUCUGCAUAGCCUUUUCUUCAUGG